ensembl:lincRNA
UAAAAAGGGUUGCAACUACACAGGGGGUGGUUACUCCGCUGGGCGGGGACCAUGAUCCAUUUGCGUUGAUUAGCUCACCAUCAUCACGGCACAACCUUAGGCAGGGGGUACCACUGGCCUGGUCUGGAGGGGAGGAAAUUGGCUUGGGAGCUCACAGAGGUUGCGCAGCACAGCACAGAAAGGGCAGGGCCAGGGUUGACCUGCAGAGUCUGACCGGGGAGUUUGAGGGCUCGAGCCCCCGUGCUGCUGCUUGCUGCUAGACAGCACCUUCCAUCCAUUUCUAGGGGAGUCUGAAGACGGAGAAGCAACCAUCAGCCUGAGUUCUGCCUGUGCCUCAUGGAUGAGUUGAUUUGAAUAUCUUUCCCCAAAGAAGAUCCAAGUGGAGAAAUCGGAUUAUAGUUUCCUUGUCUGCCGUAAACUAUGUGCAUGGUUUCGUUUCAGACAGUUAUAGGGGCCCACAAGGAGAGAGGAGCACCCCACGCAGGCGAAUCGCCUCUUGUUUUGUCUGCAGAGCCAAGAGAGGCUGAAGUUGGCUGCAGGACAGUCUUCAGCGUCCGAGGAUGGGGCGGCCGGUCAGGCAGACCUGCCCCGCAGGAUGUUCCCGGGAGCAAGCAGUGAGCCCGCCCGCGCCCACGCUCCCUGCCCGGGCGCCCAGCGUGGAGGCUCCCCCGGUCUCCCCACACGGCCGGGGCCUCGCGCCAGCCCCAGCGCAGCCCCUCACCAGCUCCCAGAAACCGGUGAGAAGCAGCCCAUAGCUUGUUACCUGUUUAUCCAAAGGACAGAUCAGUGCUCAAGAAAGGUGGCGACAUGGAGGCCCAGAGUGAGGAAGUCAUGUAUUCAAGGUGGCAGAGCUGGGAUUUGUAUAUCAUCUCUGUACCUGAGCCCCUAACCUGCAAGUCAUAAUAGGCAACCAAUCAAUGUAAGUUAUAAUUAAUAUUGUCGCAUGUAUCUAUUAUUAAGUUACAA